rnacentral:rRNA from 1 species
AAAAGUAGGGAGGUGUGUAAGCCAUGAAUCAAGAAAAGCCGCUAUUGUUUUUAAGAUACCCGUACCGUAAACCGACACAGGUGGAUGAGGAGAGAAUCCUAAGGCCGGCGGAAGAAGCAUUGUUAAGGAACUCGGCAAAAUGACCCCGUAACUUGGGGAGAAGGGGUGCCAACGAGAGUUGGCCGCAGAGAAUAGGCUCAAGCAACUGUUUAGCAAAAACACAGGUCUAUGCAAAACCGUAAGGUGAGGUAUAUGGGCUGACGCCUGCCCGGUGCUGGAAGGUUAAGAGGAGAGGUUAGCGCAAGCGAAGCUUUGAAUUUAAGCCCCAGUAAACGGCGGCCGUAACAAUAACGGUCCUAAGGUAGCGAAAUUCCUUGUCGGGUAAGUUCCGACCCGCACGAAAGGCGUAAUGAUUUGAGCGCUGUCUCGACAAUGCAUCCGGUGAAAUUGAAGUACCAGUGAAGAUGCUGGUUACCCGCGCCAGGACGGAAAGACCCCAUGGAGCUUUACUCCAGUUUGGUACUGGGGUCCGGCAGUGCAUGUACAGGAUAGGUGGGAGGCUGUGAACCUGGAACGCCAGUUUCAGGGGAGCCAUUGUUGGGAUACCACCCUUGUGCUGCUGGGCUUCUAACCAGCGGCCUUUAUCAGGCCGGGGGACAAUGCCAGACGGGGAGUUUGACUGGGGCGGUCGCCUCCGAAAGGGUAUCGGAGGCGCUCAAAGGUUCCCUCAGAAUGGUCGGAAACCAUUCGAAGAGUGCAAAGGCAGAAGGGAGCUUGACUGCGACACCGACGGGUGGAGCAGGUACGAAAGUAGGACUUAGUGAUCCGGUGGUAUUAAGUGGGAAUGCCAUCGCUCAACGGAUAAAAGCUACCCUGGGAUAACAGGCUUAUCACUCCCAAGAGUUCACAUCGACGGAGUGGUUUGGCACCUCGAUGUCGGCUCAUCGCAUCCUGGGGCUGUAGUAGGUCCCAAGGGUUGGGCUGUUCGCCCAUUAAAGCGGUACGCGAGCUGGGUUCAGAACGUCGUGAGACAGUUCGGUCCCUAUCCGGCGUGGGCGUAGGAUAUUUGAGAGGAGCUGUCCUUAGUACGAGAGGACCGGGAUGGACUGACCUCUGGUGUACCGGUUGAACCGCCAGGUUCACGGCCGGGUAGCCAAGUCGGGAAGGGAUAAACGCUGAAGGCAUCUAAGCGUGAAGCCCCCCUCAAAAUGAGAUAUCCCAUUCGAAAGAAGUAAGACCCCUUGAAGACGACGAGGUAGAUAGGGCAGAGGUGGAAGUGCCGUAAGGCAUGGAGCUGACCGUUACUAAUCGGUCGAGGGCUUGACGAA